rnacentral:rRNA from 1 species
GAUUGCACUCUGCAACUCGGGUGCAUGAAGGUGGAAUCGCUAGUAAUCGCGGAUCAGCAUGCCGCGGUGAAUACGUUCCCGGGCCUUGUACACACCGCCCGUCACACCAUGGGAGUUGGUUUUACCCGAAGCAGGUGCGCUAACCGCAAGGAGGCAGCCUACCACGGUAAGGUCAGUGACUGGGGUGAAGUCGUAACAAGGUAGCCGUAGGGGAACCUGCGGCUGGAUCACCUCCUUU